CCACAAACUUUGAUCUUUGUUUCCUUUGAAGGUAGUUCAUAGGUCCUCUCAAUCACAUAUAAUAUUCUAUUUUAAAGUAAAAAGACCACCUUGUUAUUUAAUUAGUGUUGAGGCCUUUGUAACUUCUUUCAAACAAAACAUUUGUAACACCAUUAGGAGUCAUUCUUACCUUCAAUAAAGUCACUAAACAUUAAGAAUCUCUUCCAAGUUCAUGAUAUCAAAUAUAUUGUAUCUCGCCAUCUAUUAAAAAAAAAAAUGUUAUAUUUGAAGGUCUUGAUUUUGAUUACAUCAUUUUGAUUAAGGCAAUCCUUAUUUUUUUAGUAGUGAGAAAUUGCUUUCUUUUUCAUCUUGAUUUUGAUGGCUGUCAUUGAUAAAAAGCAUCAACAUUCUUUGCUGAAUUUUAAAGAUUCUUGGCUAGCUCCUAUGUGAAUUCACUAAUAUCAUACUUACACCUAUGUAAAAGAUAUUUCAAAAAUUUUUAGUACCACCUUGAAUCUAAGACUUCUUCAACUUCAAAAUCUUUAUUAUUUUCCACUUUUAUAAGAAGGGAUGACAAUUGUCUUCUUUUUGGCGUCAUAUUACAUGUAUUCUUGCUUGAGAAUGGACUAAGUAUGUAUUUGUAGAAGAUAAAUAAAAUUAAAUAAUAAUUCUAUCAAGUUUAAUAUAAUCUCAAAUAAACUUUA
rnacentral:lncRNA from 1 species